GCGCAACCCCUAUUGUUAGUUGCCAUCAUUCAGUUGGGCACUCUAGCGAGACUGCCGGGUAAUAAACCGGAGGAAGUGGGGAUGACGUCAAAUCAUCAUGCCCCUUAUGACCUGGGCUACACACGUGCUACAAUGGUUGGUACAACGAGUUGCGGAGUCGGUGACGGCGAGCUAAUCUCUUAAAGCCAAUCUCAGUUCGGAUUGUAGGCUGCAACUCGCCUACAUGAAGUCGGAAUCGCUAGUAAUCGCGGAUCAGCACGCCGCGGUGAAUACCGGUUCCCGGGCCUU
rnacentral:rRNA from 1 species